ACCUAGUAGUGGGGAUAGCUCGGGAAACUCGAAUUAAUACCGCAUACGAACUACGGGAGAAAGGGGGCAGUUUACUGUCUCGCUAUUAGAUGAGCCUAAGUCGGAUUAGCUAGAUGGUGGGGUAAAGGCCUACCAUGGCGACGAUCUGUAGCUGGUCUGAGAGGAUGAUCAGCCACACCGGGACUGAGACACGGCCCGGACWUCUACGGGAGGCAGCAGUGGGGAAUAUUGGACAAUGGGGGAAACCCUGAUCCAGCCAUGCCGCGUGUGUGAAGAAGGCCUUUUGGUUGUAAAGCACUUUAAGCAGUGAAGAAGACUCCGUGGUUAAUACCCACGGACGAUGACAUUAGYUGYWGWAUAAGCACCGGCUAACUCUGUGCCAGCAGCCGCGGUAAUACAGAGGGUGCAAGCGUUAAUCGGAAUUACUGGGCGUAAAGGGAGCGUAGGUGGCUCGAUAAGUCAGAUGUGAAAUCCCCGGGCUCAACCUGGGAACUGCAUCUGAUACUGUUGAGCUAGAGUAUGUGAGAGGAAGGUAGAAUUCCAGGUGUAGCGGUGAAAUGCGUAGAGAUCUGGAGGAAUACCGAUGGCGAAGGCAGCCUUCUGGCAUAAUACUGACACUGAGGCUCGAAAGCGUGGGUAGCAAACAGGAUUAGAUACCCUGGUAGUCCACGCCGUAAACGAUGUCUACUAGUCGUUGGGUCCCUUGAGGACUUAGUGACGUC
rnacentral:rRNA from 1 species